rnacentral:rRNA from 1 species
UACGUAGGGUGCAAGCGUUGUUCGGAUUUACUGGGCGUAAAGGGCGCGUAGGCGGCAAAUUAAGUCAGCUGUGAAAUCUCCGAGCUUAACUCGGAACGGUCAGCUGAUACUGAUCUGCUAGAGUGCGGAAGGGGCAAUCGGAAUUCUUGGUGUAGCGGUGAAAUGCGUAGAUAUCAGGAGGAACACCGGCGGUGUAGACGGCUUGCUAGACCACCCCUGACGCUGAGGCACGAAAGCGUGGGUAGCAAACAGG